rnacentral:rRNA from 1 species
UACAGAGGGUGCGAGCGUUAAUCGGAAUUACUGGGCGUAAAGCGUGCGUAGACGGUUAUGUAAGUCAGAUGUGAAAGCCCCGGGCUCAACCUGGGAAUUGCAUUUGAGACUGCAUAGCUAGGAUGCGGAAGAGGGAAGCGGAAUUUCCGGUGUAGCGGUGAAAUGCGUAGAUAUCGGAAGGAACAUCAGUGGCGAAAGCGGCUUCCUGGUCCAGCAUCGACGUUCAGGCACGAAAGCGUGGGGAGCAAACAGG